rnacentral:misc_RNA from 1 species
UGGCUCUCGCAUCGAUGAAGAACGCAGCGAAAUGCGAUAAGUAAUGUGAAUUGCAGAAUUCAGUGAAUCAUCGAAUCUUUGAACGCACCUUGCGCUCCUUGGUAUUCCGAGGAGCAUGCCUGUUUGAGUGUCAUUAAAUUCUCAACCUUACUAGCUUUUAUAAGCUUUUAGUAAUGGCUUGGAGUUGGGGGUCUUUUGCUGGCUUCGUCAAGAGGUUUGCUCCCCUUAAAUGUAUUAGCUGGUACCCUGCGUGGAGCCAUCUAUUGGUGUGAUAAUUAUCUACGCCGUGGAUGUCCACUUUUAAUGGGAGUGCUGCUUCUAACCGUCCAUUCACUUGGACAAUUAAUGACAAUUUGACCUCAAAUCAGGUAGGACUACCCGCUGA